rnacentral:rRNA from 1 species
GUUACUUAACGUAUAUGGUGGAUGCCUUGACUGAAAUAAGCGAUGAAGGACGCAGCUGGCUGCGAUAAUCCUCGGGGAGCUGUUAAGCAAGCUUUGAUCCGGGGGCCUCCGAAUGGGGCAACCCUUCCAGUUUUUACUGGAAACCGUAAACUGAAUUCAUAGGUUUACGGAGCGAACCCUGGGAAUUGAAACAUCUUAGUACCAGGAGGAAUAGAAAACAAUAUGUGAUUCCCCAAGUAGUGGCGAGCGAACGGGGAAAAGUCUAAACCGUGCCUUCGGGCACGGGGUUGCGAGGUAAUUGGACUCUGUUGACAGGGGUCAGAUGUAAAUCAUUAGCAAAAUACUCUGGAAAGUGUAACCACAGCGGGUAAUAGUCCCGUAUGCGAAAAUCAUUUACAUUAGAUGCAAUUAUCCUCAAGUAAGGCGGGACCAGAGAAAUCCUGUCUGAAUCUGGGAGUACUACUCUUCCAAGACUAAAUAUUAUUUCAGAUCGAUAGCGAACUAGUACCGUGAGGGAAAGGUGAAAAGCAUCCCGAUGAGGGAGGUGAAAUAGAACUGAAACCAUAUACUAACGUAGAGUUGGAGCGGUUGCUUGCAACCGUGACAGCGUGCUUUUUGCAGAACGAGCCAACGAGUUAAUUUUACGCGGCUUGCCUAAGGAGCUAACACUCCGGAGGCGUAGUGAAAGCGAGCCUGAAUAGGGCGUUCGUCGCGUGGAUUAGACCCGAAGCCGGGCGAGCUACAUAUGAGCAGGGUGAACCUUGGGUAAUACCAAGGGGAGGCCCGAACCCACGAGCCGUGCAACACUCGGGGAUGACUUGUGUGUAGGGGAGAAAUUCCAAUCGAGCUCGGCAAUAGCUGGUUCUCUCCGAAAUAGCUUGAGGGCUAGCGUCAUGACAUUACAUCCAAGAGGUAGAGCUACUGGAUGAGAAUUCGCGGUUCGCCGUAGGGUUUUCAACCAAACUCCGAAUUCUUGACGAUGCGUACCAUGGCAGUCAGAAUUCCGGCGCUAAGGUCGGAACUCAAAAGGGAAACAGCCCAGAUCGUCGUCUAAGGUCCCCAAAUCUAUACUAAGUGGAAAAGGAAGUGAAGUUUCUUAAACAUCUAGGAGGUUGGCUUAGAAGCAGCCAUCCUUUAAAGAGUGCGUAACAGCUCACUAGACUAGAGACUUUGCGCCGAAAAUGUACCGGGGCUAAGUAUAGUACCGAAGACACGGGCUCCGAUUUAUCGGAGCGGUAGGAGAGCGUUCCAUAUGAGCUGAAGCGAAAGGGGCGACCCAUCGUGGAUUUUAUGGAAGUGAGAAUGUUGGCAUGAGUAACCACAAUGUACGUGAAAUCCGUACACACCGUAAGUCUAAGGUUUCCUGGGCAAUGUUGAUCAUCCCAGGGUUAGUCGGUCCUAAGGCGAGGCUGAAAAGCGUAGUCGAUGGACAGCAGGUUAAUAUUCCUGCACUAUAAUAUUAUUCGAUGGAGUGACGUAUUUUAGUAUGUUUCGCGCCUUAAUGGAUUGGUGUAGACAUAGUAAGGACGCUUCGUAGGCAAAUCCGCGAGGCACAAAUCCAAGCUAUGGCUCAAUGCUCAACUACGGUUGGGUAGAGGAAACAAAGCAGGGUACCAGGAAAAGCUUCUAAGGCUAAUAAUAUUGUAUCCGUACCAAAAACCGACACAGGUAGACGAGGCGAGUAGCCUAAGGUGAACGGGAGAACCUUCGUUAAGGAACUCGGCAAAAAAACUAGACGUAAGUUCGCGAAAUGUCUUUCCUGCUCGCAAGAGUAGGACGCAGUGAAAAUUUCCCAAGCGACUGUUUACCAAAAACACAGGUCUCUGCAAACCCGUAAGGGGAAGUAUAGGGGCUGACACCUGACCAGUGCUGGAACGUUAAGGGGGGUGGUGAGAGCUAUUCCUUGAAGCGCCAGUGAACGUCGGCGAUAACUAUAAUCGUCCUAAGGUUCUGGAAUUUCUUCGGAGAUUUCAGAAUAACUGGGACGAUUACUAGUGGGUAAAUAUGUUCAAUUGAAAAGAAAGUUACAAAAAGGAAAAGUAGACGCCUAUUUUGCAGAAAUGUAAAAUGUAAAUUAGCUAUAUGCUGGAAAAUCUGGUGUAUCUGGUGCUACUAUGGUAUAAUUGUUCCAUAGAUUUAAUUCUGUGAAAAAACAAAUAUGCCAAGUAAAAAUGCAUCCAGUGCAGACAAUCAGCAGGAAAGGCUAAGAAAUGAAGGUUGGUUAGUUGGUUUCGUUGAUGGUGAAGGCUGUUUUUCAGUCAGUAUUAUCAAGAAUGCAACCACAAAGUUUGGGUGGCAAGUGUUUCCUGAAUUCGUGGUCACGCAAGGAGAGAAAAGCAAAAAUUCAUUAAGCAUUUUGGAAAAGUUUUUCGGAUGCGGAAAGAUUUUUGUAAAUAAUCGAUAUGAUAAUCAUAAAGAGAAUAUCUAUCGCUAUUGCGUGAGAUCAAGAGUUGAAUUAUCUGAAAAGAUUAUUCCAUUUUUUGUAAAAAACCAAUUAAAAACAGCUAAAAAAGAAGAUUUUAAAAUUUUCUCAAAAAUUAUUGCAUUGAUGAACGAAAACGAACAUCAAAAGUUUUCAGGAAUCAAGAAAAUUGCAAAAAUGAUUGAAAAAAUGAAUCAUAAAAAAUCUUCGCGUUUCUUAGAAUCCUCAGAGACCAAACGCUAAUGUCCUGAUUGUUAUUGGGAUAAGAUAGAGUCCGUACUUUACGGCGACGUAAAGAUAACAUAAUAGAGCGAAAUUCCUUGUCAGGUAAAUUCUGACCCGCAUGAAAGGUGUAACGACUUGGGAACUGUCUCAACGAAGGACCCGGUGAAAUCGCAAUGACAGUGAAGAUGCUGUCGACCUACAGCAAGACGAAAAGACCCCGUGGAGCUUUACUACAACUUGGUAUUGGAUUGAGAUUUUGGUUGCCGAGAAUAGGUGGGAGACUUUGAAGUUCGGAUUCCGGUCCGAGUGGAGUCGACAGUGGAAUACCACUCUAUCAAAGUUUUAAUUCUAACCCUCCUCUGUUAAGAGGUUGGAAAAAAAUUAGCAAGAAAAUAGUAAGCGAAACUUUUAUCGUCACAACGUUAGAAAGAUCAAUUUUAUUGGAUCCUUUUCUGAAUAGUGACUACUCAAAUUAUAGUAAAAUAUAAUUUGCGAACGCUUAGUAUAAUUCUUGCUAUGCAUUUUCUCUUCUCUUACCAGAGGGGGAACAGUGCCUGGUGGGUAGUUUGACUGGGGCGGUCGCCUCCUAAAUGGCAACGGAGGCGUUUACAAAGGUUGGUUAGGUCCGGAUGGAAAUCGGACUGAUAGCGCAAAAGUACAAACCAGCUUUACUGCAAGACCCAUAAGUCGAUCAGUUACGAAAGUAGAAUUUAGUGAACCGACCGUAGCAUGUAGAUGCGCGGAAGAUCAUCAGAUAAAAGUUACCCCGGGGAUAACAGGCUGAUCCCUCCCAAGAGUCCACAUCGACGGAGGGGUUUGGCACCUCGAUGUCGGCUCAUCGCAUCCUGGGGCUGGAGAAGGUCCCAAGGGUUUGGCUGUUCGCCAAUUAAAGCGGUACGCGAGCUGGGUUCAAACCGUCGUGAGACAGGUUGGUCUCUAUCUGCUGUAGGCGUGAAUGUUUGAGGGAGCUCUUUCCUAGUACGAGAGGACCGGAAAGAACAAACCUCUGGUGUAUCGGCUGUUCCGCCAGGAGCACUGCCGAGUAGCUAUGUUUGGAAUAGAUAACCGCUGAAAGCAUCUAAGCGGGAAGCUAGUCCCAAGAUUAGACAUUAUGUGUAAUUUAUUACACUGAAAUCUCCUAGAAGAAUACUAGGUUGAUAGGCUUUAGAUGUAAGUCUCGCAAGGGAUUGAGUCAAGAAGUACUAAUAGAUUUAU